AUGAACGCUGGCGGCGUGCCUAAUACAUGCAAGUCGAACGCUUCACAAUAGUGAAGAGUGGCGAACGGGUGAGUAAUACAUAAGUAACCUGGCCUUUACAGGGGAAUAACUAUUGGAAACGAUAGCUAAGACCGCAUAGGUGUGUCCAUCGCAUGAGGGACAUAUGAAAUAUGCUACGGCAUAGGUAGAGGAUGGACUUAUGGCGCAUUAGCUAGUUGGAGGGGUAACGGCCCACCAAGGCGACGAUGCGUAGCCGACCUGAGAGGGUGACCGGCCACACUGGGACUGAGACACGGCCCAGACUCCUACGGGAGGCAGCAGUAGGGAAUUUUCGGCAAUGGGGGAAACCCUGACCGAGCAACGCCGCGUGAAGGAAGAAGUAAUUCGUUAUGUAAACUUCUGUCAUAGAGGAAGAACGGUGCGUGUAGGGAAUGACAUGCAAGUGACGGUACUCUAUAAGAAAGCCACGGCUAACUACGUGCCAGCAGCCGCGGUAAUACGUAGGUGGCGAGCGUUAUCCGGAAUUAUUGGGCGUAAAGAGGGAGCAGGCGGCACUAAGGGUCUGUGGUGAAAGAUCGAAGCUUAACUUCGGUAAGCCAUGGAAACCGUAGAGCUAGAGUGUGUGAGAGGAUCGUGGAAUUCCAUGUGUAGCGGUGAAAUGCGUAGAUAUAUGGAGGAACACCAGUGGCGAAGGCGACGAUCUGGCGCAUAACUGACGCUCAGUCCCGAAAGCGUGGGGAGCAAAUAGGAUUAGAUACCCUAGUAGUCCACGCCGUAAACGAUGAUUACUAGGUGUGGGGGGACUGACCCCUUCCGUGCCGCAGCAAACGCAAUAAGUAAUCCACCUGGGGAGUACGACCGCAAGGUUGAAACUCAAAGGAAUUGACGGGGGCCCGCACAAGCAGUGGAGUAUGUGGAUUAAUUCGAAGCAACGCGAAGAACCUUACCAGGUCUUGACAUCGAUCUAAAGGCUCCAGAGAUGGAGAGAUAGCUAUAGAGAAGACAGGUGGUGCAUGGUUGUCGUCAGCUCGUGUCGUGAGAUGUUGGGUUAAGUCCCGCAACGAGCGCAACCCCUGUUGCCAGUUGCCAGCAUUAAGUUGGGGACUCUGGCGAGACUGCCGGUGACAAGCCGGAGGAAGGCGGGGAUGACGUCAAAUCAUCAUGCCCCUUAUGACCUGGGCUACACGCGUGCUACAAUGGACAGAGCAGAGGGAAGCGAAGCCGCGAGGUGGAGCGAAACCCAGAAAACUGUUCUCAGUUCGGACUGCAGUCUGCAACUCGACUGCACGAAGUUGGAAUCGCUAGUAAUCGCGAAUCAGCAUGUCGCGGUGAAUACGUUCUCGGGCCUUGUACACACCGCCCGUCACACCAUGAGAGUCGGUAACACCCGAAGCCGGUGGCCUAACCGCAAGGAAGGAGCUGUCUAAGGUGGGACUGAUGAUUGGGGUG
rnacentral:rRNA from 1 species